AAAAAAAAAAAAAAAGAACACCUGAGCUGUGUUUCUCUUUUAAACACAGCAGCCUUUGUUAGUUUUUUUUAAACAAUUGCUUGUAGUUAGAAAGCAAGCAGGAGGUGUCAAAUAGUUAGAUAUGCAGAGAGUAGCUGUCUAGUCUAAGCCUAUUGGAGGCGAUUUGUGAAGUCGGCCAAAGAUCGAAAGUCGGUUAAGUUUUCGACCAAAUCAACUAGAGAGAAGCAGAUAGAGAUUUGGGGCAGAACAGAAACUGAGAGAGUUGUGGAGAGAGAGACAACCCUUUUCAAUUUGUUUAUGUCUAAGGUAGAAUCCAUAUCACCUUUUAGCAAUUUCGAAUUCAGUUCCUAAGAUUUGAUAGAGUACUUACUUUUUAUUUUGAUUCUUGAUUCUUUGUCUUGAGUAUCAAUAUGGUUACUUUUUUUAUUAUGGUUUGUAAUUUCGAAUUCUCAGAUUUGUAUAGAUAGGAAUCCUAAUUUGAAUCAGAUGUUGUUGUUUGGAAUCGUUGUGGUUGAAGCUCAAGAACAUGGUUCUUGAGUUUGGGUGUCCAAAUCAAAUUUUGGAUCCUUUUGUUUCAACCGUUGGUUAUGUUUAAAAUCGUUCUAUGUUCUGAAAAUCUGUUGUUUUUCGUUCUGAAGCUUUAGAACAUGUUUUGCUACUUCAAAAGUCGAAUUAAAGCUCCAAGAACUAAGUUUUAUUCCUGCUGUAAAUUUCCAGAACUCUGCAGAAAAGUUGAUUUUCUUGCCUAUUUUGAGACAUGAUAUCUUUCAGCUCAGGCCUUUUUUUUGAAAUCCGAAAGUAGCUUUGUAAACCUUGUUUAUCCAUCAUUGUGUGUGUUAAAUUUCAUAGGUUUUGGUUACCAUUUGGUAUGAUAAUUAGCUUUCCAAAAACAGUAGCAGACUCAGCAAAAACUGAAAUUUCUGGGUUUCCAAAUUUUUACUCCAACUUUGCAAGACCAUAACUUUCUAUCCAGGGCUUUGUUUUCAAA
rnacentral:lncRNA from 1 species